CCACAGUCUUUUCACAUUUUGGCACAUGCCGAGCCAGUUCUGAGAUCGUGUAGUUCCGCGCCCGUAAAUCCUGAUGUGUGUGCUAAAAUCGUUCAAAAACCGUAGAAAAUCGUUUUAAAUCGGUUCGCGUGUGCUGCAGAUUCAGGUUUCCGUGAUUUUGUGAGCCCUCAAGCAGAAAGGAGCCCCUCCUCAGAGAACUGAAAGAGGUCAGUUUUGACAGCGUUUUAAGGUGCAGUGAACAAGGGGAUUUGCAAGGAAAAAAAUCCAUAUCACAGGAAACAUCGCGCAGUGUAAUAGGUGUAACAGCAGCUACAGAGAUCACGAUCAGAAGCAACCAGCAGAAGCAGCAGCAAGAUGUCGUUCGAGGAAACUUCCGCAGACCGUAAUGUGGAGAUUUGGAAAAUCAAAAAGCUUAUCAAGAGCUUGGAGAUGGCUCGAGGUAAUGGUACGAGCAUGAUCUCGCUGAUCAUUCCACCGAAGGAUCAGAUCAGCCGGGUGAGCAAGAUGUUGGCCGACGAGUUCGGUACCGCGUCCAACAUCAAGUCUCGCGUUAACCGUCUCUCCGUACUGGGUGCCAUUACCUCGGUCCAGCAUCGGCUUAAACUAUACACCAAAGUGCCUCCGAAUGGACUCGUGAUUUAUUGCGGAACGAUCGUAACCGAAGAGGGCAAAGAGAAGAAAGUCAACAUAGAUUUUGAACCGUUCAAACCGAUCAAUACCUCUCUAUACUUAUGCGAUAAUAAAUUCCACACCGAAGCACUAACGGCCCUGCUAGCGGACGACAAUAAGUUUGGUUUCAUCGUGAUGGACGGUAACGGGGCUCUGUUUGGUACCCUCCAGGGUAAUACACGCGAAGUGCUGCACAAAUUUACGGUCGAUCUGCCGAAGAAGCACGGUCGUGGUGGUCAGUCCGCGCUGCGUUUCGCCCGUCUACGUAUGGAAAAACGUCACAACUACGUCCGGAAGGUUGCGGAAGUUGCCACCCAACUGUUCAUCACCAACGAUAAGCCAAACAUUGCCGGUUUGAUUCUGGCCGGUAGUGCCGAUUUCAAGACCGAGCUGAGUCAGUCAGACAUGUUCGAUCCGCGAUUACAAUCUAAAGUGAUCAAACUAGUGGAUGUAUCGUACGGUGGAGAGAACGGUUUUAAUCAGGCUAUCGAACUGGCAGCUGAAUCGCUUCAAAACGUUAAAUUCAUUCAGGAAAAGAAACUUAUCGGGCGAUACUUUGAUGAAAUUUCGCAGGACACUGGCAAAUAUUGCUUCGGUGUGGAGGACACGUUGAAGGCGUUGGAGCUGGGCUCGGUUGAAACGCUCAUAUGUUGGGAAAAUUUAGACAUUCAACGUUACGUACUGAAGAAUCACGUCAGUGCGACAUCCACGACAGUAUUGCAUCUGACACCGGAACAGGAAAAGGACAAAUCACACUUCACCGAUAAAGAGAGUGGAGUUGAGAUGGAACUGGUCGAAUCUCAACCGCUGCUUGAAUGGCUCGCCAAUAACUACAAGAGCUUCGGUGCUACUCUGGAAAUUAUCACUGACAAGUCACAGGAAGGCAGCCAAUUUGUACGAGGAUUUGGUGGAAUAGGAGGAAUACUUCGCUACAAAGUCGACUUCCAAUCAUUGCAGGCCGACGAGCCGCUGGAUGAUGUCGAUCUUGACGACUACUAAAUCAAUUACGAAGCGCUCUUUAUUCUUAGUAUUUUACACGAACCUGCGUGCGUAAUGUAGGAAUGAAAUUAGAAAACCAACAUUGACAAAAAAAACUGCAUUCAGGGUGUACAUGCAACGCACUCACUUUCGUAAAAUUAAAUCGAAAACAAAAAAUAAUUGAAAUCUCAGGAUUUCUCUUACAGUUCGUUUCAUCUUCUAAUCUUAAUACCGGUCGCUUCACGGAGAACUUAUAUUUUCGCCACACCUCUGCGGUUGAAAAAUGUUCCUCCGAAGAUUACAACACACCCAAAAUAUGUUUUAGUGACUUCAUAGUUGUUUCGUCAUCGUUUCACAACAUCAUCCCAAUAAUGAGAGGUACUAUAAAGCGGCACUAUAAAUUUGCUUCGAUAGGACUGUUGAGCUCGAAUUGAAAACAUGAACAAUAUUUAGAAUUUCGAAGGAUUCGCAAUAAAUGCGAAAUUCUUUAUAACCGCGCUAUGAAAAACUAGCAAAAAAACCACAACAAGUAAACAGAUAGGUAAUAAAAAAAAUGCUCCAAAACUUUAUAUGACUAUCAACUGACGGAAUGUGGUGGCAUGAGUUGCAUUCUCACGUACUUUGAAUUUAUGUUAACAUAUUUUGAAUAGAAGGUAUGAUAAAUUGGUUCAAGUUAGCUAGGGACAUUAACAACUCUGAAUUUGUCAUACUUCAAGUAAUCGUUCUUUAACAUACGUUAACAGGAACCUUAAUGUUCAUGAGAAAUUUGCAAAACUAGCACAUUAGUCGGUUCCGAGCCUGCGUGAGAGUGUAUUUAGGUGAACCAACGACAAAGAAGAAAAAAAAGAUUAGCAGAUCCGUUUUGUGUAGAUGUUGAUUGGAUGAACCAACUGAUUGGUUUUGAAACGAAAACUUUUCAUUACUUUUACAGUGCUAUUGGAUCGAUGAGAUUCCGAUCCACUUAAAGUGUAUGCAAGGUUUAUUCUUCAACCCCAGUUGCAGAAAUCUAUUUUAUGAUGAUAUAUCAUUUUUAAUGUUUUGAAUUUAUUUUUUCUCAUAUUUAAGUUACUUUAACUGGAGCAAAUUAAUAAAUUUAUAUAAUGAAUAUUUACGGGAUGUUAUGCUGCAACUGUCAUACGUUCCGAUUACCAAAUAUUUUCGCGUAACCUUUCAAAAUCUUGCGGAACAAAAAAGGGGUUGUUCACAAAAUGCAUAACGAAAAAUUGUCAAGAUUAUUUAUACUACAACUAUUCAAAAACCGGUCGAGUUUCGCAAAUGACAACAAUUAUUUGGACGAUUCAAAGAGAUUUUUCAAUAUGACAGUAGCAUGCAGAUGGGACAGAAAUUUCAUGUUAUGCAUUUUGCGGUCGCUUCUAGAAUCUAAUUAAGUUCAGUUGAAGGGGUAAGGGGAAAAUGAAACUCAAACAAAAAUCAUAACGUUAUGAAAUAAUAAAACGCUAAUUAGGUCGAACAAGAAGAACUUUGGGACUGCUAUGACAAAAAAUCGUUUUUGGAGCAAAACGUUUUUAAUUUACGGAAGAAUUAAUUUGUAUCGAGGAAUGUGUUAAGAAAAAAAACAACAAAAUUGAACUAGAAUAUUGUCAGCGCGCGGAUUCGUUCUGAGGUUUUCAUACUUGAAAGUAUUGUUCCGUUUAGCUAUAUGGGACAUUUAAAAUAUGUAGUUUUCGCAUUGGAGGUCAUGUAAAGAAUCUGAACAAUUGGUGUGUGUAGCAAAUUUGGCGAUCAGGCCAUGACAGAAAACUAAAGGACAUACACUCGCACACAAACAGCAGCUAUAUCGGAGUAAGAAAGUUUUCCGGUGCAUUCUGCUUUCUACUAGAUUGACGAAAGGAGCGUCACAACACACACAAUGGUGCUGGAAUGCAUUGAAAAUUAUUUAUGAUAACUGACACUUUGUUAGAGGAGGGUGUAUAAUGCUGCGCUAUCUAUCGGGGUUCGAGGAUGGAGGAGGUGUACUGCGCUACAAGGUUGAUUUCCAAAGCAUGCAACUAGAUGAAUUGGACAACGAUGGUUUUGAUUUAGAUGAUUAUUAAUUUUUUUAUGUUGUGAAAAAUCAUUUAUACACAGGAUAGAAAAUAUACAAAUGAAAACAAAACGUUGCACAUAUGAAACAACAACCAGGAGGCAACUAGAGAACGAAAAAAAAAAAUUAAAAAUCCUUCAGAUCAUUUAUGUGCGUGGAAAAUUGAUAUAUUCAAAAAGCUAAAUUUAAAAAAAAAGAAAUCACGUGAAUGUCCCAUUUUUUUGUUUGGCGAUUGUGCGAUUAUUUUACUAGUACGGAAAAUUAUAUACAAUAGCAUAGUAGGAAAAAAAUCAGCGUAGGGUCCUCAAUACAGAACCUUCCGAAAACCUGCGUUGGUGAUUCGUCAAUAAAGGGAAAAAUAUGCGAGACUGCUACCAGCUGUAUCGGUUGUGGAUGUACUACGACAUCAGUUUCCCCGGGAAUGUUUAUCUCGGCUUGACACACAACAAACCACAAUAAACGGCGAUAGUACCGACAGGAUUGCACGAACUUUUAAAAAUCCUUUAGCUUAGAGUGAAAACAUAAACACGCUUACACGUUACAACCCGUACUAUCGCCAACUAGCGCGACGCCAAUUUGGAAUUCUGCAAAUCAGAUACAAGACUUUUCUUCAAUUUAAUGUUUUAUCAGCACUAGCUUAGCCCCUGCCUGGCGGUUUCUAUUGAAUAGGCGUGGAAUAGGUCCGUUUUUUACUCUCCAAGCUAGCAAAAGUUUGAAGCAAAAGGAAUCUUUGGUAAUGCAUUGCUAAAACCAUCUCUUCUCUGGAAUUAAUUGCAGAAGAUUGCCACAAGAUUGACUUAAUAACACCGUUCAAGUUUAACACUCCUAGUAUACUAGAUUUUCGUUCCGCGACGAUUUUUAAACGUCUCGUUCAAAUUGCUCUUACUCGUAUUGACUACUUAUAA